rnacentral:rRNA from 1 species
UACGGGGGGGGCAAGCGUUGUUCGGAAUUACUGGGCGUAAAGGGCUCGUAGGCGGCCAACUAAGUCAGACGUGAAAUCCCUCGGCUUAACCGGGGAACUGCGUCUGAUACUGGAUGGCUUGAGUUCGGGAGAGGGAUGCGGAAUUCCAGGUGUAGCGGUGAAAUGCGUAGAUAUCUGGAGGAACGCCGGUGGCGAAGGCGGCAUCCUGGACCGACGCUGACACUGAGGAGCGAAAGCCAGGGGAGCAAACGGG